AAUCCACUAUAUUGUUCACCAGAGUACUACAAGCGCUAGCUUAAAACCCAAAGGACUUGGCGGUGUCCCACACCCACCUAGAGGAGCCUGUUCUAUAACCGAUAAUCCUCGUUAAACCUCACCACUUCUUGCCAUCCCCGCCUAUAUACCGCCGUCGUCAGCUUACCUUAUGAAAGACAAAAAGUAAGCACAAAGAAUUUAAACUUCUAUACGUCAGGUCGAGGUGUAGCGAAUGAAGUGGAAAGAAAUGGGCUACAUUUUUUUAACCAAAAAACACGGACAGUAAACUGAAAAAUUACUUAAAGGUGGAUUUAGCAGUAAGAAAAGACCAAAAUACUUUACUGAAACCGGCCCUGGGACGCGCACACACCGCCCGUCACUCUCCUCAAUAACAUUCAUUAUUUAUUUAAAAAAAUUCCCUAAACAAGAGGAGGCAAGUCGUAACAUGGUAAGUGUACUGGAAAGUGCACUUGGAAUC
rnacentral:rRNA from 1 species